GUGUUAGUGAUUACUAAACUGUGCAAAAUGUUCGUUUCGUUCUUUGUUUCUUUUAAAUAUUCGCAAUAUUCGUUGUUUUUCGCUAAUCAGUGCUUAACUUUCUCAUUUAAAUAAUAAACUUUGGAAUGUUCGUGCUUCUUUCGGCCAAUAAAUCAACGAAUUCUUAGACGGCGUUUGGAGGUUGGAUAUUUGAACAUACACAAGUGUCUCCAUCGUGUGCAGUACGAUCGUGUUGCAACAGUUUAGAGAUCAAUGAUCGCAGGUCGGAGUCACGUCAUUCGUUGCAGACGAAAAUUUAUCGAUGGCAGAAUAGGAAUCGACGUACAGACAGCAUUGAACAGCGGCUGUUGAUCGACACUUUCUGGAUCAAUCCUGUCCAGUUGGCACGCAGUAUGGUGAG